rnacentral:rRNA from 1 species
UACGUAGGGUCCGAGCGUUGUCCGGAAUUACUGGGCGUAAAGAGCUCGUAGGCGGUCUGUCGCGUCGGCUGUGAAAACCUGAGGCUCAACCUCAGGCCUGCAGUCGAUACGGGCAGACUAGAGUUCGGUAGGGGAGACUGGAAUUCCUGGUGUAGCGGUGAAAUGCGCAGAUAUCAGGAGGAACACCGGUGGCGAAGGCGGGUCUCUGGGCCGAAACUGACGCUGAGGAGCGAAAGCGUGGGGAGCAAACAGG